CAGGGUCUAAUAUAAUAUUGUUUUCGGUUACGUUGAAAGAUUUUUUUUGUGUGAAUCAAAAUACUCUGA
rnacentral:tRNA from 1 species